UUCGCAGUGACACCUGAGAAGAGGAACUGACCGCGCUCAUGGAAAAGCAGUUUGUCACCAAAGUGUCCUGUGUCUUCAAGUGAGCUGUCCCACUGCAUCUGUCUUCCAUUCGUUUGCAUCAGUGACGACAUCUUUUCUGGAAAAGGCUGAUGACGAAGGCUCCGGAACAGCUAUGGCAGAGACGGUCUUUGGAAUAUUUGUCAUCCGACAGGAAGGAGCCGGGCCUGCUGAUGACCCAGAGGAUGUUGGAAUCCUUCUGGAAGGGGUGGAGGUACUCAACAACUUGACAAAUGUUCCUUUUGCUGUUGCGAUGUUGCUCGCCCUUGUAUAUGCUCUAAACCUGAGCUAUCCUCCGGAGUUGAAAUGUACCUUCAAAGCACUUCAGAAAAUCAUAAUGGAAAUAGACGGAAGCAGACUAUCCAG